CCCUUAGAUGUUCUGGGCCACACGCGCGCUACACUGGUGCAUUCAACGAGUCUAAAACCUGCUCUGAUAGGGGUGGGUAAUCUUUUGAAUGUGCAUCGUGAUUGGGAUAGAUGAUUGCAAUUUUUCAUCUUCAACGAGGAAUGCCUAGUAAACGCAAGUCAUCAGCUUGCAUUGAUUACGUCCCUGCCCUUUGUACACACCGCCCGUCGCUCCUACCGAUUGAAUGAUCCGAUGAAUAUCAUGGAUUGAGGAUGCAAGCAGGUUCGCCUGUCUUCAUCUUCGAGAAGUGAAGUAAAUCUUAUCAUUUAGAGGAAGGAGAAGUCGUAACA
rnacentral:rRNA from 1 species